UUUUGGGCAAGGUCUGAUGCCGACGCCAACCUCACCGGACUCGGCCAUGGACAGAGCCUGUUGAGGAGGAUGCACGGCUGAGGUCAUGCAAUUUGAGAGGAGAGAGCACGAUCAGAGAUAGAGAGGAAAGGAUGGAAAAAGAGAGGAAGUCAGAGACGAAGGGAGCAGCGCCAGUGGCCGGUUGCGGCCUCGCCGGUACUCCAACGACUUGAUGCCGGUUUCGCCGGAAAGGGAACCGCGGCGGCGGAUCUGCCGCAAAGGGGAGACUCGGCGACGGCUGACUCGUCGACUUCAGGCGGAGCGGCAACAGCUUCAGAAGGGAGGCGGCUGAGCGGGGCGGCGCGGCCGAAGGCCAAGCGCCGCUGGUCGCGGCCCAGAGCAGAGCAGCAGCGGCCGGAGGAGAUCGAGCGAGAUAGAGAGAGAUG
rnacentral:lncRNA from 1 species